AUGGCCAGGGAGCAGUUCGUCCUGUUCAUCUUCAUCUGCUGUCUGUCCUCCCGAUUCGCUGAUGCGUAUGAUCCGGUGGAUCCAAACGGGAACAUCACCAUCAACUGGGAUUUUCCGUCCAUCGAGCCUAAUGUGUACGCGGUCAAGGUGAGCAUCCACAAUUACCAGCUGUACCGCCACAUCGAGCGCCCGGGGUGGCGGCUGAGCUGGGUGUGGGCCGGCCACGAGUUCAUCUCUGACGUGAUCGGCGCGGAGACGACGGAGCGGGGCAACUGCACAUUGCUGCGAGAAGCAACCGGUCAUGGCGGACCUGCUGCCGGGCGCGCCGUACAACAGGCAGUCCGCCAACUGCUGCCGUGGCGGCGUGCUCUCGUCCGUCACGCAGAACAACAGGACGGCCACCUCGCAGUUCGAGAUGUACAUAGUCAAUUUCGCGCUCGACGAGCACGGCGACCCCAAGAUGCCGACCACCUUCAGCAUCGGCGUGCCGGGCUACACCUGCAGCAACGCCACCAACGUGCCGGCGACGAGGUCCAAGGUCGACGAGCAGCGCCACGUACAAGGACAUGGCAGAUCAUCUGCUCGUACUCGCAGUUCAGGGACGCACCGUCGCCGUCCUGCUGCGUCUCCCUCACGACCUUCUACAACAACACGAUCGUGGGGUGCCCGCGGGACAGCUGCGGUGGUGCAAACUCUCCCUCGGCGCAUCAGUGCCUCAGCGGCGGCGAGCAGUCCAAGGUACUGGCGGCGCUGCCUGACGCCGACGGCGCUCCGCCCGUGCCGGUCAUCCGGUGCACGGAGCACAUGUGCCCGAUCCGGGUGCACUGGCACGUGAAGCAGAGCUAUCGGGGGUACUGGAGGGUGAAGACAACGGUGACGAACUACGACGUGGUCAGCAACUACACUGACUGGAACCUGGUGGUGCAGCACCCCAACCUCCGGAGCCUGACGCAGCUCUUCAGCUUCAACUACCAGCCCCUCAUCCAGUACGGCACCAUCAAUGACACGGGGGUGUUCUGGGGGAUCAAGAACUACAACGAGAUGCUGCUGAGGGACGGGAACGUGCAGACCGAGAUGAUACUGGAGAAAGACCCGAGCGACUUCACCUUCUCGGGGGGCUGGGCGUUCCCGAGGAGGGUCUACUUCAAUGGACACGAGUGCGUCAUGCCGCCGCCGGAUCAGUACCCUUCGCUGCCCAAUGCGGCCUGGGACGUGCGUGUCUCGGCGGUGCAGCGGUGGCUGGUCGCCGGCUCUUGUCUGCUCUCGUUGUCUAUGUUGUUUCUCGUAUAA
rnacentral:rRNA from 1 species